rnacentral:tRNA from 1 species
AAAAUAAAGCUAAAGUUUAGUAUUUCACUUACGUUGAAAAGGGUAUCGAGCAAAUCGAUUUGUUUUGAU